GUGGGGAAUAUUGGGCAAUGGGGGCAACCCUGACCCAGCAACGCCGCGUGAAGGAAGAAGGCUUUCGGGUUGUAAACUUCUUUGACCAGGGACGAAACAAAUGACGGUACCUGGAAAACAAGCCACGGCUAACUACGUGCCAGCAGCCGCGGUAAUACGUAGGUGGCGAGCGUUGUCCGGAUUUACUGGGUGUAAAGGGCGCGUAGGCGGGAUGGCAAGUCAGAUGUGAAAUCUGAGGGCUUAACCCUCAAACUGCAUUUGAAACUGCUGUUCUUGAGUGAUGGAGAGGCAGGCGGAAUUCCUAGUGUAGCGGUGAAAUGCGUAGAUAUUAGGAGGAACACCAGUGGCGAAGGCGGCCUGCUGGACAUUAACUGACGCUGAGGCGCGAAAGCGUGGGGAGCAAACAGGAUUAGAUACCCGAGUAGUCC
rnacentral:rRNA from 1 species